rnacentral:rRNA from 1 species
AACGAACGCUGGCGGCAGGCCUAACACAUGCAAGUCGAGCGCACCGUGAGGUGAGCGGCGGACGGGUGAGUAACGCGUGGGAACGUGCCCUCCGGUUCGGAAUAGCCCUGGGAAACUGGGGGUAAUACCGGAUACGGUCGAGAGACGAAAGAUUUAUCGCCGGGGGAUCGGCCCGCGUUGGAUUAGGUAGUUGGUGGGGUAAUGGCCUACCAAGCCGACGAUCCAUAGCUGGUUUGAGAGGAUGAUCAGCCACACUGGGACUGAGACACGGCCCAGACUCCUACGGGAGGCAGCAGUGGGGAAUCUUGGACAAUGGGGGCAACCCUGAUCCAGCCAUGCCGCGUGAGCGAUGAAGGCCUUCGGGUUGUAAAGCUCUUUCGUGGGGGAAGAUAAUGACUGUACCCCAAGAAGAAGCCCCGGCUAACUCCGUG